CAGAGUUCAUGCCCGAGAGGGUAGACCUCCCACCCUUGUGUAUCAUUACUUUGUUGCUUUGGCGCGCCGCCCUCGGGCCUCGCGCGCGCGCCAGAGGAUAACCAAACUCUUUUUAUCAACGUCGUCUGAGCACUAUAUAAUAGUUA
rnacentral:ncRNA from 3 species